ACACAUGCAAGUCGAACGGGAUCUGCGUGGCCUUUGUGGUUGUGUGGUGAGAGUGGCGAACGGGUGAGUAACACGUGAGUAACCUGCCUUUUUCUUUGGGAUAACGCUCAGAAAUGGGUGCUAAUACUGGAUGUUCUGCGCUUUCCGCAUGGGGGGUGUGGGAAAGGGGCCUUUGUGGUUUCUGGAGGGAGAUGGGCUCGCGGCUUAUCAGCUUGUUGGUGGGGUGAUGGCUUACCAAGGCUUUGACGGGUAGCCGGCCUGAGAGGGUGGGCGGUCACAUUGGGACUGAGAUACGGCCCAGACUCCUACGGGAGGCAGCAGUGGGGAAUUUUGCACAAUGGGGGGAACCUUGAUGCAGCGACGCCGCGUGAGGGAUGGAGGCCUUCGGGUUGUGAACCUCUUUCGCUCGUGUGCAAGCCGCUAUUUGGGUAGUGGUGAGUGUAGCGGGUAAAGAAGCGCCGGCUAACUACGUGCCAGCAGCCGCGGUAAUACGUAGGGCGCGAGCGUUGUCCGGAUUUAUUGGGCGUAAAGGGCUUGUAGGCGGUUUGUCGCGCCUGUCGUGUAAUCCUCUGGCUUAACUGGGGGUGUGCGGUGGGUACGGGCAGGCUUGAGUGCGGUAGGGGAGAUUGGAAUUCCUGGUGUAGCGGUGGAAUGCGCAGAUAUCAGGAGGAACACCGGUGGCGAAGGCGGGUCUCUGGGCCGUU
rnacentral:rRNA from 1 species